rnacentral:rRNA from 1 species
UACGUAGGUGGCAAGCGUUUGUCCGGAUUUACUGGGCGUAAAGAGCGCGCAGGCGGUCGUUCAAGUCGCGUGUGAAAGCCCCCGGCUCAACUGGGGAGGGUCACGCGAUACUGAUCGACUCGAAGGCAGGAGAGGGUAGUGGAAUUCCCGGUGUAGUGGUGAAAUGCGUAGAUAUCGGGAGGAACACCAGUGGCGAAGGCGACUACCUGGCCUGUUUCUUGACGCUGAGGCGCGAAGGCUAGGGGAGCGAACGGG